ACCGGCGCACGGGUGGAGUAACACGUAUCCAACCUGCCGUCUACUCUUGGACAGCCUUCUGAAAGGAAGAUUAAUACAAGAUGGCAUCAUGAGUCCGCAUGUUCACAUGAUUAAAGGUAUUCCGGUAGACGAUGGGGAUGCGUUCCAUUAGAUAGUAGGCGGGGUAACGGCCCACCUAGUCUUCGAUGGAUAGGGGUUCUGAGAGGAAGGUCCCCCACAUUGGAACUGAGACACGGUCCAAACUCCUACGGGAGGCAGCAUG
rnacentral:rRNA from 1 species